UACGUAGGGUGCGAGCGUUAAUCGGAAUUACUGGGCGUAAAGCGUGCGUAGGCGGUUCGUUAAGUGCGUCGUGAAAGCCCCGGGCUCAACCUGGGAAUGGCGAUGGAAACUGGCGGGCUGGAGUAUGGCAGAGGGGGGUGGAAUUCCGCGUGUAGCAGUGAAAUGCGUAGAGAUGUGGAGGAACACCGAUGGCGAAGGCAGCCCCCUGGGUCAACACUGACGCUCAUGCACGAAAGCGUGGGGAGCAAACAGG
rnacentral:rRNA from 1 species